AGAGUUUGAUUCUGGCUCAGGACGAACGCUGGCGGCGUGCUUAACACAUGCAAGUCGAACGAUGAAGCCUAGCUUGCUAGGUGGAUUAGUGGCGAACGGGUGAGUAAUACGUGAGUAACCUACCUUUAACUCUGGGAUAAGCCCGGGAAACUGGGUCUAAUACCGGAUACGACCAAUCUCCGCAUGGGGUGUUGGUGGAAAGCGUUAUGUAGUGGUUAUAGAUGGGCUCACGGCCUAUCAGCUUGUUGGUGAGGUAACGGCUCACCAAGGCGACGACGGGUAGCCGGCCUGAGAGGGUGACCGGCCACACUGGGACUGAGACACGGCCCAGACUCCUACGGGAGGCAGCAGUGGGGAAUAUUGCACAAUGGGCGCAAGCCUGAUGCAGCGACGCCGCGUGAGGGAUGACGGCCUUCGGGUUGUAAACCUCUGUUAGCAGGGAAGAAGAGAGAUUGACGGUACCUGCAGAGAAAGCGCCGGCUAACUACGUGCCAGCAGCCGCGGUAAUACGUAGGGCGCGAGCGUUGUCCGGAAUUAUUGGGCGUAAAGGGCUUGUAGGCGGUUGGUCGCGUCUGCCGUGAAAUCCUCUGGCUUAACUGGGGGCGUGCGGUGGGUACGGGCUGACUUGAGUGCGGUAGGGGAGACUGGAACUCCUGGUGUAGCGGUGGAAUGCGCAGAUAUCAGGAAGAACACCGAUGGCGAAGGCAGGUUACUGGGCCGUUACUGACGCUGAGGAGCGAAAGCGUGGGGAGCGAACAGGAUUAGAUACCCUGGUAGUCCACGCCGUAAACG
rnacentral:rRNA from 1 species